rnacentral:rRNA from 1 species
UACAGAGGUCCCAAGCGUUGUUCGGAUUCAUUGGGCGUAAAGGGUGCGUAGGCGGCGGGGUAAGUCAGGUGUGAAAUCCCACGGCUCAACCGUGGAAGUGCACUCGAAACUGCGUAGCUAGAGUCCUGGAGAGGAAGGUGGAAUGCUUGGUGUAGAGGUGAAAUUCGUAGAUAUCAAGCGGAACACCGGUGGCGAAGGCGGCCUUCUGGACAGUGACUGACGCUGAGACGCGAAAGCGUGGGGAGCAAACAGG